UGUUCACAUUGUAUUGAGCGUAAAAAUGUUUGGCCAUUGUUGUGCUGUUACCUAAUUCCUUUACUAAAACAGCACAGACAUCACAUACAAUUGUCAGCAGGUACUUUUACUCUCAGUGAAUUCUCCGCUUAGUCUUUUGAGUGUACGAAUGUUGGAGUGUGCAAUUCUGAAGCAGCGACAUCAAAACCCGCACAUGCUCCUCACCACGCAACGCCUCUGACGUUCAAGGCCUUCUCCUCCUCCAAGACACGUGAAUAAGUCAAUCUGUCCAUCAAAUAAAAAAAUAAACCACCAUCCAUUCAUUUCAAGACAGUGCAUGAUCAAUAUCAUCAAUCCCAGCUUCCUUUCUUGUUUUCUUCCCCACAGUUUCUCUCUCUCAGUUUGUCUCUCCCUCUCUCUCUCUCUCUCUCUCUCGCCCUCUCCCCAUCUCUCCAGCUGUAUCCAUUUCCUUCUGGCAAAAAGGGACUUUAUGAAUAAAUGAUACUGAAUAGCUGAAGGUUCAGAUACUAAAUAAUGAAUUUCACCACCAAAAACACAACAACUUCUCCAAUCAUAAAAUAGCGCUCCCCUUCCAUAUUGAUUGUGCUUUGCUUUGGCAACCAGAUGCAGAGCAACACGGGCAGCAUCCAUGUGCGCGUGAGAGAGCGUGCACGAGGGUUAGUCGAGUCCCUCCGACCCAAAAGCAGUGGAAGCUGGGACUCGGGCUCCAGAAACACCGCCUGGCUGCCAUGCCGUUCCCGUCGGCUUAUUUCCGCAUGGAUAAUGGAGAGGAGAAAUCUAGGGGAGGGAGAAGAGGGGCGGGGGGUAUGGGUUAAAUUCAGCGAUAGAACUUCUUCACGGGACGCCUGAUACACAAAGAUCGCCGGGACUUGUGCCCCUGCAGCUGGAUUUGGCUUACAGAAUGGAGAGAAGUUUGGAUGAGAAGAUGGUAAGACAGUUGGACAGGUGCACAGGAACAAUUAACACGACAAACAACGUUGUGUCUUUAUGUGAAAACAGGCAUUAAACAGUGACUUCCAC